CUUGAGCAAGUUAAAUAUAUAACAAUGGCCGAUAUAGCUUGGUACCAGUGGUAUCACAACUCAUUUCCACAACUGAGUGAACUGGAGCAAUGUGAAAUAAAGUGUCUUGCUCAAGAAAACACACAACCUGGUCCGGGAAUCGAACUCACUACGUUAUGGUCGUGAGCC